UACAGAGGUCCCGAGCGUUGUUCGGAUUCACUGGGCGUAAAGGGUGCGUAGGUGGCUUGGUAAGUUUGAUGUGAAAGCUCAGGGCUCAACCCUGAAAUGGCAUUGAAUACUACUGAGCUGGAGGUUUGGAGGGGGGACUGGAAUUCUCGGUGUAGCAGUGAAAUGCGUAGAUAUCGAGAGGAACACCAGUGGCGAAGGCGAGUCCCUGGACAACACCUGACGCUGAGGCGCGAAAGCUAGGGGAGCAAACGGG
rnacentral:rRNA from 1 species